AUUUUAUCAUAAUCAUUUGGUGUCUCCUCCAUGACAGUCUUGAACAUCAAAACUAAAUAUCAAAUGAAUAAUAUUGCUUAUGUUUAGUGUUUGGCUCAGGUUAGCGUUCAUUAUGUAUCACAGUUUUAUAUAGAACCCUAUGGGUAAAAAUAGAGAACUCCUUUUUGACAGAAAACACCAAACAUACUAUCCUCACUGAUUUGUGUCCAC
rnacentral:lncRNA from 1 species